rnacentral:rRNA from 1 species
GACGAACGCUGGCGGCGUGCUUAACACAUGCAAGUCGAACGGAAAGGCCCUGCUUUUGUGGGGUGCUCGAGUGGCGAACGGGUGAGUAACACGUGAGUAACCUGCCCUUGACUUUGGGAUAACUUCAGGAAGCUGGGGCUAAUACCGGAUAGGAGCUCCUGCUGCAUGGUGGGGGUUGGAAAGUUUCGGCGGUUGGGGAUGGACUCGCGGCUUAUCAGCUUGUUGGUGGGGUAGUGGCUUACCAAGGCUUUGACGGGUAGCCGGCCUGAGAGGGUGACCGGCCACAUUGGGACUGAGAUACGGCCCAGACUCCUACGGGAGGCAGCAGUGGGGAAUAUUGCACAAUGGGCGGAAGCCUGAUGCAGCAACGCCGCGUGCGGGAUGACGGCCUUCGGGUUGUAAACCGCUUUCGCCUGUGACGAAGCGUGAGUGACGGUAGUGGGUAAAGAAGCACCGGCUAACUACGUG